rnacentral:rRNA from 1 species
GUGCCAGCAGUCGCGGUAAUACUUUGGGUGCAAACGUAAAUCAUCGUUAUUUGGUCUAAAACGUCCGUAGGAGAAAUACACAUUUUAGAGUUUUAUAGGAGUAAGCAUAGAAGAUAUAUGAGUAGAGGCUAAAUUUAUUAAUACAAUAUCGACUACCAGACGCGAAAGCAUUUUACUAAGUAAAAACUGACUUUAAUGGACGAAGGUAUGGCAACUAAAAAAGAAUUAGAUACUCUUGUAUUCCAUACUGUCAACGAUGAGAAUUCGGGAUUAGAUUAAUCAGAAAAAUUUAGACCCUAAGUGAAGACAUUAAAUUCUCUACCUGAAGACUACAAGCGCAAGCUUGAAAUUCAAGACAAUAGGCGGUUACGGGCAUCAGUAGUGGAACAUGUUAUUUAAU